rnacentral:tRNA from 1 species
GGGGAUGUAGCUUAAUAGUAGAGCACUUCCUAUCAAGUGCAGGGUUCUGAGUUUAAUUCCCAGUAUUGCCA